rnacentral:rRNA from 1 species
GAUGAAGCCCAGCUUGCUGGGUGGAUUAGUGGCGAACGGGUGAGUAACACGUGGGUGAUCUGCCCUGCACUUCGGGAUAAGCCUGGGAAACUGGGUCUAAUACCGGAUAGGACCUCGGGAUGCAUGUUCCGGGGUGGAAAGGUUUUCCGGUGCAGGAUGGGCCCGCGGCCUAUCAGCUUGUUGGUGGGGUAACGGCCCACCAAGGCGACGACGGGUAGCCGGCCUGAGAGGGCGACCGGCCACACUGGGACUGAGACACGGCCCAGACUCCUACGGGAGGCAGCAGUGGGGAAUAUUGCACAAUGGGCGCAAGCCUGAUGCAGCGACGCCGCGUGAGGGAUGACGGCCUUCGGGUUGUAAACCUCUUUCAGUACCGACGAAGCGCGAGUGACGGUAGGUACAGAAGAAGCACCGGCCAACUACGUGCCAGCAGCCGCGGUAAUACGUAGGGUGCGAGCGUUGUCCGGAAUUACUGGGCGUAAAGAGCUCGUAGGCGGUUUGUCGCGUCGUCUGUGAAAACCCGCAGCUCAACUGCGGGCUUGCAGGCGAUACGGGCAGACUUGAGUACUGCAGGGGAGACUGGAAUUCCUGGUGUAGCGGUGAAAUGCGCAGAUAUCAGGAGGAACACCGGUGGCGAAGGCGGGUCUCUGGGCAGUAACUGACGCUGAGGAGCGAAAGCGUGGGUAGCGAA